AACGAACGCUGGCGGCAUGCCUAACACAUGCAAGUCGAACGAGACCUUCGGGUCUAGUGGCGCACGGGUGCGUAACGCGUGGGAACCUGCCCUUAGGUUCGGAAUAACUCCCCGAAAGGGGUGCUAAUACCGGAUAAUGUCUUCGGACCAAAGAUUUAUCGCCUUUGGAUGGGCCCGCGUUGGAUUAGCUAGUUGGUAGGGUAAAAGCCUACCAAGGCGACGAUCCAUAGCUGGUCUGAGAGGAUGAUCAGCCACACUGGGACUGAGACACGGCCCAGACUCCUACGGGGGGAAGCAGGGGGGAAAUUGGGACAAGGGGCGAAACCCUGACCCGCCAAGGCCGGGUGGGGGAUGAGGGCCUUGGGGUUGUAAAGCUCUUUUCCCCGGGAUGAUAAUGACAGGACCGGGGGAAUAAGCCCCGGCAAACCCCGU
rnacentral:rRNA from 1 species